rnacentral:piRNA from 1 species
GUAGUAAUGGACAGACAGCUGGAAGC